GUCAUGGCUGCCGAAAUGGGGAGCUGGUCCCUUCAAUAGUUAAAGAGAGAGUGGAAAGCCUGGCGGUGGUGGUGAACACCUUCAAUCCCAGGACUUGGGAGGCAGAGCUCUCUCUCUGAAAGUGAAAGGGGACGGAAAUGUGCUGGUCCGUGAGUGGUCCAGAAUCCCUCAGCAUCCGCCCACCUCCACCUCCCGGCCUUCUCUUCCUCAGUAAUAGUUUUGCAGACCUGCACCUUGGAUCAAAACAUCUCCCAUGGGGCGGCGCUUCCGGCUGCCCCUCAUUUCUCAUCUAUGGACUCUGAGAAAUGAAGAAGUGAAAUCAGAGCUUUGCCAGCACAGGAAUCGUGUUCCUCUUUACGAACCAAACGGGAGCUCUCCAUUCACAGUGUGACCAGCAGCUGGGGCUAAGAGCAGGGCCCCCUCCAGAGCAGAGCCCAGUGUGGCUCAAUGGCAGAGCUCAUGGCACUGGAGGCAAGGAUGGCCAAGAACCAGGAGGCCAUUCUGAAGGAGAGACUGGUGGCUCAUAGAAGCUAGAGAGUCCAGUCCAGAGAGGAGUUGGAAACACUGAAGCAGCAAAGACGUGCCCAUCAGUCAAAAAGGUCAAAGAGGUGGCUAGAGAGACAGCCCAGCAGUUAAGAGCACCGGCUGCUCUUGCAGGGGACCCACGACUUUCUCCUCUGGCUGUGGGCAUGUGGAGGCUGGGGUGGUAGACAGACUGUUUCACAAUCUAUAUGACAUUCGGCAGUCUCCCAUUGAUUGCAUCAGUGGUUCUCACUUUCCUAAUGCUGCAGACCUUUAAUAGAGUGAGUUCCUGUGUCAUGGUAACCCCCAACCAUAAAACCAUUUUCUUUGGGGCUGGAGAGAUGGCUCAGCAGUUAAGAGCACUGACUGUUCUUCCAGAGGUCCUGAGUUCAAUUCCCAGCAACCACAUGGUGGCUCACAACUGCCUUGAAUGAGAUCUGGUG
rnacentral:lncRNA from 1 species